rnacentral:rRNA from 1 species
AAAAAGCUUCCGUGGGUGAACCUGCGGAAGGAUCAUUGCCGGUUGCCCCAUGGAACCUGCCUCUUUAACCAGGGCAAGUCUACCCACCCUGCAACUACCUCUGCCAGGUCACAUAUCCAGCUGGGGAUGACACACCCAGAUCAUGGAAGGUGCAGGUGCGCAGGUGUACAUCGAGUUUUCGCCCCCUGCCAAGGCUUCUAAUAGCUUGGUCUCCCAAGGCGUGCAGCGUCUGCUGUCGUCCGUCAGUGUGUCGAGGGGCCCCGGAUGAGGCCCCGAGCCUGGCGGCCCUUGCGUCAUGCCGGCGUCCGCCUUGUCCAACGCAUAUCGUCUGGCUCCGGAACCCGUCAUUGAGCGGAACACCACCGCGCCUCCCCGGCAUCGCAAACACCCCUCCAACCAGGCGCCUGUGCCCCCGCUUGGCCCGCUCCGAGGGCUGACGGCCUCGCCGAGUUGGGCGCUCACGUCUGGAGCAGUGUGACUGGUGGGAGCCAGCUCCCAUGACCGCUCACCCCACCCGGGCCCGAAACCUCAGAACCUCUACCUCAAGCGCGGUGUGGCGGCUCUCCGACACCCUUCGGCACGCCUCGGGUACCCAACUCGCCUCUCCCCUCCGGGGUUAGGAGGGGGGUCCAAUGUCUCCUGCACCGGUCUGUCCCACACGCCCUGACAGGGGCUUAGCGGAGUGGAGCAUUAUCAGGCCAACCAUGUCAAACCCCGUCAUCUCCGACCUGUGGCCAACACCUUCAAAAGAGGUAAACCCAAACAACUUGACAACUCCUAGCGGUGGAUCACUCGGCUCAUGCAUCGAUGAAGAACGCAGCAAGCUGCGAGAAGUAAUGUGAAUUGCAGGACACAUUGAUCAUCGACACUUCGAACGCACCUUGCGGCCCCGGGUUCCUCCCGGGGCUACGCCUGUCUGAGGGUCGCUUUGACAUCAAUCGGAAAGGCUGAUCUUCCCCGCGCCUUCACGCGGAUGAGGCCGUCGCGCAUCCGUUGCCUACGUCCCCAAGCGCAGCCCGCCGCGGUGCGGCGCGUCGCCUCCGUUGCGGUUUAGGCGCGGCCUCUUUGGCCACCCGCCCCACCGUUGUGCCCGUUAGGCUUCGGUGCUCCCGAUCGGCGCUCCCUCCUCCUGCCGGCCACCCAAGGACGACCGGGGUAAGGGGUGACCUGCCGGGCACCGCGUGAAUCGGGAGAGGCUCCCGCAGGACAGACGCUGUUUCUCCGCGGUGCCUGCGUUCCGAGUGGGGCCGGGUUCAGACGGGAACCCGGCGGGUGGGAGUCUGAGGUUCUGAGGUCGGCCUCGGUAUUUGAGCGGGCGCGGCACAGUGCUAACUCAGCGGAGGGAGGAGGACUACGCCGCCCUCCGAGGCGUGACGUCCCCCUCAGGCUAUGCCGGAACGCGUGAGACCCCCUUUCCAUUCAUGGGACGGGGG